rnacentral:rRNA from 1 species
UGCCAGACUCCUACGGGAGGCAGCAGUGGGGAAUAUUGGGCGAUGGGGGAAACCCUGACCCAGCGACGCCGCGUGAGGGAAGAAGGUUUUCGGAUUGUAAACCUCUGUCCUUGGUGACGAUAAUGACGGUAGCCAAGGAGGAAGCCACGGCUAACUACGUGCCAGCAGCCGCGGUAAUACGUAGGUGGCAAGCGUUAUCCGGAUUUACUGGGUGUAAAGGGCGUGUAGGCGGGACUGCAAGUCAGAUGUGAAAAUUAUGGGCUCAACCCAUAACCUGCAUUUGAAACUGUGUUUCUUGAGUACUGGAGAGGCAGACGGAAUUCCUAGUGUAGCGGUGAAAUGCGUAGAUAUUAGGAGGAACACCAGUGGCGAAGGCGGUCUGCUGGACAGCAACUGACGCUGAGGCGCGAAAGCGUGGGGAGCAAACAGGAUUAGAUACCCUAGUA